CGUCAAAUCAUCAUGCCCCUUAUGUCUUGGGCUACACACGUGCUACAAUGGCUCUAACAAAGCGAAGCGAACCCGCGAGGGGGAGCAAACCGCGUAAAAAGAGUCUCAGUUCGGAUUGCAGUCUGCAACUCGGCUGCAUGAAGUUGGAAUCGCUAGUAAUCGCAAAUCAGCAUGUUGCGGUGAAUACGUUCUCGGGCCUU
rnacentral:rRNA from 1 species